CGCUCUAAUAUUUAAUAGCGUACGCGAAACAAGCCGGCGCACUUCAAUCGAGCUGAGCAUCGCCCCAGGUAACCCCGGUCUUCUGGAACGAAGCUGAUUUCGACUCCUUGGUUACACGAUCAGCAAGGUCAGCGCAAUACCAACAUGCGGUUCUUCUCCGUAGCCUUCCUUCUUGGACUCCUGGUCGCUUUUCUGGCCUUCUGCUCCACAACAGCGGAGGAAACACAGCUGCCGCAUCUCCGAGUUCGUCGAGGUGGCGGCUGCCCAAUUUCCAGCAGCUGCGUCAAGAUCUGCCAGGACAACGGCCGCAAAUCAGGGAUCUGCGCCGGACCGCGUCAGUUAUCCUGCGUAUGCAGUUAGAGAGCGCCAUUCGCCAAAAAACUCCAAGAAAGCCAUAACUUGUGCUUGUUGUGCGCGGCGCCGCCAAUAAAAAAAAGAAGAA